rnacentral:rRNA from 1 species
UAGGGAAUCUUCGGCAAUGGGGGCAACCCUGACCGAGCAACGCCGCGUGAGUGAAGAAGGUUUUCGGAUCGUAAAGCUCUGUUGUAAGUCAAGAACGGGCGUGAGAGUGGAAAGUUCACACUGUGACGGUAGCUUACCAGAAAGGGACGGCUAACUACGUGCCAGCAGCCGCGGUAAUACGUAGGUCCCGAGCGUUGUCCGGAUUUAUUGGGCGUAAAGCGAGCGCAGGCGGUUUGAUAAGUCUGAAGUUAAAGGCUGUGGCUCAACCAUAGUUCGCUUUGGAAACUGUCAAACUUGAGUGCAGAAGGGGAGAGUGGAAUUCCAUGUGUAGCGGUGAAAUGCGUAGAUAUAUGGAGGAACACCGGUGGCGAAAAGCGGCUCUCUGGUCUGUAACUGACGCUGAGGCUCGAAAGCGUGGGGAGCGAACAGGAUUAGAUACCCUGGUAGUCCACGCCGUAAACGAUGAGUGCUAGGUGUUGGAUCCUUUCCGGGAUUCAGUGCCGCAGCUAACGCAUU